CCUACGGGCGGCAGCAGUGGGGAAUAUUGGACAAUGGGGGCAACCCUGAUCCAGCCAUGCCGCGUGUGUGAAGAAGGCCCUCGGGUUGUAAAGCACUUUCAGUGAGGAAGAACGCCUGGUGGUUAAUACCCAUCAGGAAAGACAUCACUCACAGAAGAAGCACCGGCUAACUCCGUGCCAGCAGCCGCGGUAAUACGGAGGGUGCGAGCGUUAAUCGGAAUUACUGGGCGUAAAGCGCGCGUAGGUGGCUUGAUAAGCCGGUUGUGAAAGCCCCGGGCUCAACCUGGGAACGGCAUCCGGAACUGUCAAGCUAGAGUGCAGGAGAGGAAGGUAGAAUUCCCGGUGUAGCGGUGAAAUGCGUAGAGAUCGGGAGGAAUACCAGUGGCGAAGGCGGCCUUCUGGACUGACACUGACACUGAGGUGCGAAAGCGUGGGUAGCAAACAGGAUUAGUACCCUUGUAGUC
rnacentral:rRNA from 1 species